rnacentral:lncRNA from 1 species
UAAGCUGAAUUUUUUGGCUCGUUUAUUAAACGAGCCGAACACGAGCUGGGGUCAGCUCGCUCAUGUUCAGCUCGAUAACAGCUCGAAUACAUAUAUUUUAUAUUUAUAUAAUUUAUUUAAUUUAUAUUUUUAUAUAUAAAUAAAUAAUUAUAUAUAUAAUAUAUAUUUUUAUUAUUUAGUUUUUAUAAAAUAAAAAUAUAAAUGUGAGCUUAAUUAUAAAAAAAAACUCAUUUAUAUGUAAAGUUUCAACUAUUAGAUUAAAGUCUAAUGGAUAAAAUUUUAUAAAUUUAUUUUUUAUAUAUAUU